rnacentral:misc_RNA from 1 species
GACAAAUCCAUAACAAUCAUGUUGAAGAAUUCAAUAAAACAGAAGCUGAAUAACAUGCCAGAGUCACUAUUAUGGGCAUCCAUCUCAGCUACAAACCCAAACCAAGACUUGUUCUCCUUCGUUUCAUUUCUUACAUCUAGGAAAGCGGUAAUCAAUAGAAAAUCCUAAAUGAAAUAAUCUGCUACUAGAUUAAACAGUGAAGAGACUACCACCCAAUUGCUCACCAUUCACAAAAAGAUUCACGCAGAGCAAACAUAAAUUUUCAUUGAUAACUAAAUUAACAACAUCAGCAAUCACCAAAAUCAAUCAGAAUAACUAACAUCAAC